AGCAGUUUGCAGGUCUUAAGAGAGGUGGUUGGAGGGAAUUCGACUCCGCCGGGCAGACCCUAGUCAGGUGGAGUAGGACUUGAGUUGGAAACUGCGGUCUCCCCGCCUUUUUGUGGAAAAAGCACAUUUCUAGACUGCUUUCGCGCCGCCGCUAGCUGUGGGCUGGGACUGCAAGUCCCGGCCGGCAAGAGUCCAGGAGUAGGGGCGGGAGAGGGCGGCGGUGGGAAGAGAGGCAUGCUGGGAACUGUAGUGUCUUCUCGUUCGCAGCAGAAAGAACCACUUCCAGAUGUGUCCUUCCAAAUGUCUUCCUGUGCAUUUGUAUACAGUUGUUUUACAGUUCGGAGGUGUGAUUGACUUCCUUUUGCAAGAAUGGAGUUGCUUAAAUGACAUGUAUUCCUGAAUAAAAGUCCAAAAAGGAAGAGAAGACUGCAGCAGGUUUAAUAGUGGCCCCAAGGGUAUGCCCAAAUUGCAACCCCCAGAACCUACAAAGAGGACCUUAUUUGCAAAAACAAUCUUCGUACAUGUGAUUGUGCAUUUUGAGAUGAGAUAGCUCUGGAUUAAGCUGGGAACUGAGGACUUGGUACGGCCAAGCAGAUGCAUCCUCUAGGCUUUGAUUCAGGAGCUGGUGACUCACAGCAGCAGGGAUGACGCAGAGUCCGCCCUGGCCAGGGCGCGGCGGCGAUGGCAGCUGCAUCCCGUUCCCGUGGCAGCAGGGCCAGCUGUCCUGGGGCAGCGUGCGGGGUCCGGCAUCCGAAGGCUCGGCAGAGCACGCGUGGGCUCGGUGCUUGGCAGCUGCCCUGAUGACUUCACAGGAACAGCUCUGCAGGGCGUGUUGGGUGUGGUUCUUGCCCCGUGGUUUGUCUUCCCACCUUUACUUCUUAAAUUAGUUUAAAAGUUGAAUUAAUUUACUGGCAACAAGCACUAAUGAUGUUAAUAAUAACUAACUCUCAGAUGCUAACAGUAACUGACUCUUGGAUAUUAACAAUAACUAGCUUUGGAUGGUGCUUACCGUAUGCCAGGCAGAUUUCAAAGUGCUUUAUGUAUAUUAAUUCAUUUAAUUUUUACAACAACCCUAUGACAUAUACACUGGUAUUAUUUCCAGUUUACAGAUGAUGAAACAGCAGCAGAGAGGACAAGUUCCAUGUUCAAGGUCAUAUGGCUAAAUAGCAGCUCUGAAACUCUAAUUUAGUCCGUCUUAACCUAGCUCUUAAGAGGUCUGAUACAUACAACAUUUCAUAUCCUGAUUUUCUCAUAUAAUAGGAAUUUUGUGAGCAUUUCCAUGUUCCUCUGAAUAUUUAAAGUAGUUGUAUACUGUUCAAUUAUAAGGCUGAUUCAUGAUUCAUUUAACCAACUUGCUGUUGUUGGACAUUAAGUAUAUCCUGGUGGCAAAACUUUUUUUUCUUGUUUCAGUUAAUACCUAUGACUGUUUCUCUAAGAUAAAGUUCUACGAGUGAAAUGCUUGGUCAAAGGGUAUUCUGAUUGCCUUCCAGAAAUAUUAUUCCAGUUUACACAUACAGCAGUGUGUGGGAGCAUCCUGUUUUCCUUGAGACCUUAUUAGCACUGAAUAUUAUUAACAUUUUUAAAUUUGUGGUACUGAAACUGAUACAUAGUUUUCUUUUAAAUCCAAAAUUCUUUAAAUAUUUAAAAAUACUUUUAUUGACCAUUUGUUCAGAGUUCUUUUUGUGAAUUGACUGCUUUAUCACCUGUGGGAUAAAGUUGAAACUUAGAAGGCAAUUCAAGGCCUUUCUACUCUGACCCCAACUACUUUCUUAAUCUGUUCUAAACAUUCACCCAACACACCAGUGGGGAUUAUUUUGUGUUAGUUGAAACCACAUGAGGAUACUAUGUUUGUAGACCAGAAAGUGAUUGACUAUUGGCAGUUUUAUGUGGUUAAACCUUAUAAAUCUCCAAACGUUUGCUCUCCCACUAGUAUUUUCAUGAAUGUCCUCUGCCUGUCUUUGCUUGGUGAAGUCUUUCGUGUUCUUGAUGGGGCUGAGUUCACUGGCAUGUUCCCUGCUCCUUUGCAUCCAUAUCCUGUUCGCCUCUCACUGUAGCUGAGGUUGCUGCAAAUCACCCUUCUUCAUUAUUUCCACUCUGUGUCUUUCCUGUCAGAGCUAUAGGAUGGUCCUAGGGUACUGCGGCUGAAUAAUGUGUUUGCAUCUGUGUGGCAGAGGCCAAGCCCUCUGCUGCUUUUUGCCAGCAGAGACUCUGUCUUGUUUAUUUUGGCAGCCACAAAGCUAGCAGAGUUUCAGGCUCAUAGCAGAUACACAACAAAUAUCUGUUGACUUGAAGAACCAGUAAUGCUAGGGCCCAGAAAGUGCCUUAUUAGCCACAUAUUCAUUGUGAUUUCCUUCCACAUUAAGUAAGGAAGAACAGGUGUAACACUCUCUUGUAUCUUCUAAUUUGACCGGUUAGUAUUGUGUUUGGAAUCAGUCCUCCUUAUUUUGAAUCCUCCAUCCUUAUAACUUUUUUCCUGUAUUUUUGGAUGUGAUCAUUAUAUUGGAAAUCAUUGAACAUUAUAUUGGAAGCAAGAUUCUCAAGGAUGAAAGAACACAGUUCUCUUGCUAGCUAAAUAAGUAAUCUAUGUACUUCUUAUUUUUCCCUUUUAACCAUAUUCACCUUUUUUUCUUGGGUGAACUUUCAGGAACUUUUAGUGACUUCCAGGAAAUACUAAUGCUAAUGCUAAAGUUACUAUAACAAGAUUCAGGAUCAUCAAAAGUAAAAAUGUUUUUAAAUAUUAAAAGCAUUUCAACUGAGCCUUAAGAUAAAGGUUUCUGUUUAUAAAAGAGAUACAUAGUGCAUUCAGCUUAAAUUGUACUUCAGGAAGAAAAUCAUGGAAUCAUAUAACUUUAAAGGUAGAGAAGAACUCCCAAGUAUGUACUCAAUAUGUACUGUCUGGUGGAAAAAUCCAUGUAAGAGUGGAGGAGAGAAGAUAACUUUGGCUCCAUAUUCCCCCACCCAGUUAAUUUUCAAAUGAUAUUUCAACCUUUGUUCAUCUCUUACCUACAUAUCCUGCCUUUGCCAUGCCUUGAAGAAGUUCAAGUAGAAGCAGUGUCAAUGCCAGGCCUUGUGUGUUUUUUUUGUUUUUUGUUUUUUCAUUUUUGGCUGUGCUCAGUCCUCAUUGCUGUGAUGGGUCCUCAUUGCUGCGCAUGGGCUUUCUCUAGUUGGGGCGAGCAGGGGCUACUCUCUAGUUGCGGUGCCCAGGUUUCUCACUGCGCUGGCUUCUCUUGUCGCCAGCUCUUGCAAGCUCUGGAGUGUGGGCU